AUGGAUCCGGAAAUGAGGGAUCGUGUUAGGAAGAGGGAGGAGGAGGAUGACGAAAUGAUGUUAUUCGUUUUCCCUGCACUACAUUUGAUAGAGACCGAUGGAGUUGCUCUUAGGGAGCGGAGAAUUCCGCGUCAUACAUCAUCGCUAACAGGCGAGAUGUUUGUUAACGAGUUACUCGAAGGGCACGUCAAAAACUGUCGGGUAGCAUUUAGGAUGGAGCCGCGUAUCUUCAAAUCUUUGGCUAAUUAUAUUCGAAGGGAGAAGUUGGUGAAAGAUACCAGAAUUAAAGUCGAAGAGAAACUAGCAUCAUUUCUGUGGAUGUUAUCCCAUAAUUUUUCAUUUGAAGACCUUCAAGUUCGGUUUGGUCACAGUGGGGAUACUUUUCAUUGGCAAAUGAAGAAUUUCUUUGACAUCAUCCCUAUUCUCUCCAAGCAUUUUUUGAAGCCUCCAAAUCCCAGUCAAGUGCAUCCAAAGAUUCAGUCGGACACGAGAUUCUUUCCUUAUUUUCAGAACUGCAUUGGGGCAAUUGAUGGGACACAUGUUCCCAUAACAAUUUCAGGAGAAAAAGCCGCACCAUUCAGAAAUAGGAAAGGGACCCUAAGCCAUAAUGUUAUGGUCGUGUGCGACUUCGACCUGAACUUCACCUUCAUUUCUUGUGGCUGGGAGGGAUCUGCUACUGAUGCUAAAGUUCUCCGGUCAGCACUUAACAGUGGGUUUCAUGUACCUCCGGGCAAGUUUUAUCUGGUUGAUGGUGGUUAUGCCAACACACCUUACUUCUUGGCACCGUAUCGUGGUGUUCGGUACCAUCUGAAGGAGUUUGCACGCGGUCGUCAUCGACCCCAAAAUCACAGGGAGCUAUUUAAUCUCCGGCACGCCGUGUUACGAAAUCACGUCAAACGGGGAUUAGUAAUCUUGAAGAAGCGGUUCCCAAUCCUAAAAGUGGGCACACAUCAUCGAAUAGAGAACCAAGUCAAGCUACCAGCAGCGGCGGCAAUCUUACAUAACAUCAUCCGAUCUGAAAAAGGAGAUGAGCGUUGGUUAGAUAACCAACCAAACAAUAUACCUGUCAUGAAUUUUGUUGAUCUUCCUGACGGUGAUAUUCCUCAAAAUCAUCAAAUCAACCAUGAAGGCGACAACCUUAGAGAUGCCAUUGCUCAUCAAAUGUGGGCUGAUUAUCAACAUGCAUAA
rnacentral:rRNA from 1 species